rnacentral:rRNA from 1 species
GAUGAACGCUGGCGGCGUGCCUAAUACAUGCAAGUCGAGCGAACAGACGAGGAGCUUGCUCCUCUGACGUUAGCGGCGGACGGGUGAGUAACACGUGGAUAACCUACCUAUAAGACUGGGAUAACUUCGGGAAACCGGAGCUAAUACCGGAUAAUAUAUUGAACCGCAUGGUUCAAUAGUGAAAGACGGUUUUGCUGUCACUUAUAGAUGGAUCCGCGCCGCAUUAGCUAGUUGGUAAGGUAACGGCUUACCAAGGCAACGAUGCGUAGCCGACCUGAGAGGGGGAUCGGCCACACGGGAACUGAGACGCGGACAAGACUCCUACGGGAGGCAGCAGUAGGGAAUCUUCCGCAAUGGGCGAAAGCCUGACGGAGCAACGCCGCGUGAGUGAUGAAGGUCUUCGGAGCGUAAAACUCUGUUAUUAGGGAAGAACAAAUGUGUAAGUAACUAUGCACGUCUUGACGGUACCUAAUCAGAAAGCCACGGCUAACUACGUG